rnacentral:rRNA from 1 species
AAAUGAAUAGACGGGGGCCCGCACAAGCGGUGGAUCAUGUGGUUUAAUUCGAAGCAACGCGCAGAACCUUACCUGGGUUUGACAUCCUCUGACAUCCGUAGAAAUACGGCUUCUGUAGCAAUACAGCAGAGUGACAGGUGCUGCAUGGCUGUCGUCAGCUCGUGUGGUGACAUGUUGGGUUAAGUCCCGCAACGAGCGCAACCCUUGUCUUUAGUUGCCAGCAUUCAGUUGGGCACUCUAAAGAGACUGCCGUGGUUAACACGGAGGAAGGUGGGGAUGACGUCAAGUCCUCAUGGCCCUUAUAUCCAGGGCGACACACGUGAUACAAUGGUCGGUACAGAGGGAAGCAAAAGGGUGACCUCAAGCCAAUCCCAAAAAACCGAUCUCAGUUCGGAUUGGAGUCUGCAAUUCGACUCCAUGAAGGUGGAAUCGCUAGUAAUCGCGGAUCAGCACGCCGCGGUGAAUACGUUCCCGGGCCUUGUACACACCGCCCGU